rnacentral:rRNA from 1 species
GACGAACGCUGGCGGCGUGCUUAACACAUGCAAGUCGAGCGGAGCGGCGAACGGGUGAGUAACGCGUGAGUGACUGCCCCCCUCUCUGGGAUAACAGUUGGAAACGGCUGCUAAUACCGGAUAGUGGGGGAUGACUCGCGUCCUAUCAGCUUGUUGGUUGGGUAGUGGCCUACCCAGGCGACGAAGGGUAGCCGGCCUGAGAGGGCGACCGGCCACAUGGGGCUGAGAUACGGCCCAAACUCCUACGGGAGGCAGCAGUGGGGAAUAUUGCGCAAUGGGGGAAACCCUGAUGGAGCAACGCGCGUGCGGGAUGACGGCCUUCUGGUUGUAAACUGCUUUAAGCCAUGACGCGGUAGUGUCAGAAGAAGCACCGGCUAACUACGUGCCAGCCGCCGCGGUAAUUC